rnacentral:misc_RNA from 1 species
GACCAUCCGCAGUGUAUUA